UAAGGAAUCUUCCACAAUGGGGGCAACCCUGAUGGAGCAACGCCGCGUGAAGGAUGAAGGCCCUAGGGUCGUAAACUUCUUUUGUUAGCGAAGAAUAUGACGGUAACUAACGAAUAAGGGUCGGCUAACUACGUGCCAGCAGCCGCGGUCAUACGUAGGACCCAAGCGUUAUCCGGAGUGACUGGGCGUAAAGAGUUGCGUAGGCGGUCUGUAAAGCGAAUAGUGAAAUCUGGUGGCUCAACCACCAACCCAUUAUUCGAACUCACAGACUCGAGAAUGGUAGAGGUAGCUGGAAUUUCUAGUGUAGGGGUAAUAUCCGUAGAUAUUAGAAGGAACACCAAUGGCGUAGGCAGGCUACUGGACCAUUUCUGACGCUGAGGCACGAAAGCGUGGGGAGCGAACCGG
rnacentral:rRNA from 1 species